rnacentral:rRNA from 1 species
GUGAGGAAUAUUGGACAAUGGGCGCAAGCCUGAUCCAGCCAUGCCGCGUGCAGGAAGACGCAUCUAUGGUGUGUAAACUGCUUUUGUACGGGAAGAAACACUCCCUCGUGAGGGAGCUUGACGGUACCGUAAGAAUAAGGAUCGGCUAACUCCGUGCCAGCAGCCGCGGUAAUACGGAGGAUCCAAGCGUUAUCCGGAAUCAUUGGGUUUAAAGGGUCCGUAGGCGGUUUAAUAAGUCAGUGGUGAAAGCCCAUCGCUCAACGAUGGAACGGCCAUUGAUACUGUUAGACUUGAAUUACAAGGAAGUAACUAGAAUAUGUAGUGUAGCGGUGAAAUGCUUAGAUAUUACAUGGAAUACCAAUUGCGAAGACAGGUUACUACUUGUGGAUUGACGCUGAUGGACGAAAGCGUGGGGAGCGAACAGGAUUAGAUACCCUUGUAGUCC